ACAUCGAGGCUGUUCAAAGUUGCUCUCUGAUUCCUGGGGCCCCCGGGGAAGUGGAGAAUAGCUACAGCACACUGCACAGUAGCUGUGCCCCGAUCCACGCUCUGUUCUGGGGGCUGGGAGCAGGACCCUCAUCAGCUCCACUCUAAUUGGAGGGCCCCUCCAUGGGGAGAUUUUCAAGGGGCCAGUUCUGGCAUGAAGGCACGUUAGCAUAGCUGUGAAUCCAGCCUCCUGGAGAUAAAGUUAACGAGCAAGAAUCCCCUUUAAAAUGAAAAGCAAGUCAGUCCCUGUGGCGCUGUUAUGGAUUCCAUCUGCUGCCUUUAGAACCUAAAAAUAAAACCAGGAGGCGGAACUUGACAGCUGUCUUCAAAGAACCGAGCGGCCACCGCGUGCGCGGGUCCGGCUCUCCUUGCCAUCAGUCGGGACUUCACCCGCGCCAGAAUGCAGGGCUUAAUUCGCAUCUGGUUCGGUGCUUGCUUUCAAAGCCUCAUGAUUCACCACCUUGGCAGGCAGCCCCGGAUUCUGACGAUCUAUUUUGGGGGAAUAACAUUUCCACAGGAAUUUUUGUUGUGUUUUGCAGUGUCACCUGGUUUUUUUUAAAAGUAACUUGAUCAGCACAUUGAGGGAAUGAAUCAAUCCAUAGCUUGGUAACCGUGUAGAACAUUGCGUGCGUAACCAUCCUCCAUGCAACCCAGGUCCUGAUUAGAUCUUACAGGGGGGGCGUCCCUUUCGUUUUCAAAACUCUUGAGCUGCUUCACAAAGGCUGUGCUGGGCCAGAUCCCCAGCUGGUGUAAAUGGGCAUUGCUUAAUUGGAGUCGCUGGGGCCAGAUCCCCAGCUGGUGUCAGUCAGCCCCACUCCAUUGGCUUCAGUGCGGCUACACUGAUCUACAUCAGCUGGGCCUCUGGCCCCAUCUGUGCUCAUGCAGACAUAGAGGGCUGAAGGUAUGUGUGUUCCCGGCUCAGCACUUCAACCCAAUCAUGUGAUUCUUCUCCUACCUCACCUACUUUGGGGGCAGUGUUGUCUCAAGAUUAGAGCAAGGGACUUGGGAGGCGGGACUCCUGGGUGCUAAUUAAACCUCUGCUACUGCCUGCCGUGUGACCUUGGGCAAGUUACUUCGCGGGAUAGCUCAGGUUUCUCCAGUGUAGGCCGGGGCAAUGAAAGCCAGUUGACAGUGAGGUGGUGAGUCUGAAUGAAUUGUCUGUAAGGGGCUUUGAGAUGCCCAGCUGGAAGGUGCUGUGUGAACAAAGUUAAGUUCUUUGCCGCAGUGUUCACGGCUGGUGGGUAUUCUCUUUCCUUUGCCAUUCCAUGGCCGGUAGCAGCUGGGAUCCCACCAGCAGCAGAGUGUUUUUGCAUAAGACUCAUAACACAUCUGCCCUGCAGUUCACACCUGUAAAGUGUGUGUGGGGGGGGGGGGGGGGUCCAGAGAGAGCAUAAAAGGGGGCUCUUGGCACUAGACUAGGCCUCAGGAGAUCUGACUUCAGUUCUGGGCUCUGCCACAGACUCCCUGUGACCUUGGCCAAGUUGCUUCCCCUCUCUGUGCCUCCGUUCCCCAUCUGUACAAUGGGGAGAACGCUCCUUCCCUGCCUCAUAAGGGGGCUGGGAGGAUAGUCAUGAAUCCAGAUGCAAUGCUGUGCUAUAGUUAUUUAUAUUGUUGUAGUGUCAAGAGACCCCCACUGAGACCAGGGCCACAUUGGGCCAGGUGCUGCACAGAAACAGGCCCUGCUUCAAAG